UACGUAGGGUGCGAGCGUUAAUCGGAAUUACUGGGCGUAAAGCGUGCGCAGGCGGCUUUGCAAGACAGAUGUGAAAUCCCCGGGCUCAACCUGGGAACUGCAUUUGUGACUGCAAGGCUAGAGUACGGUAGAGGGGGAUGGAAUUCCGCGUGUAGCAGUGAAAUGCGUAGAUAUGCGGAGGAACACCGAUGGCGAAGGCAGCCCCCUGGGCCAACACUGACGCUCAGGCACGAAAGCGUGGGGAGCAAACAGG
rnacentral:rRNA from 1 species